rnacentral:rRNA from 1 species
CUCAGCUACAAAAAUGGUGUCGUGCUCAAAGUGGUUAAGGGCGAGGUGUCUACCUCAGAGUUGCUGAUUCAACUUAAUGGGGUUUUCUGCAAGAACAAAGAGUGGCCUUGGCAGAUUAGGGAUUUGGGAGAGAAGAAGUUCUUACUGAGAUUCCCUUCAUGGAAGAAUGUACAUGACCUGAUUGAGUUUCCUGCAUUUGAGCUGCCAAUUGAUGAGGUGUCUGUUAAGAUUUGCGAAUGGGUAGGUGUGCUAGAUGAAUUUGGAGGUUUAACUGAAGCCUGGGUUCAAAUUGAGGGGAUUCCCCCUAAGUGGUGUGCUUGGAAGGUUUUUGCCCAGAUCACAACAUGCUUUGGAAUUCUGGUUGAUAUGGAUUGGAAUGGCAACUUUAAGAGCUUCUAUGAGACCAUCAGAGUGAAGGUUGCUUGUAGAUACCCCAGGAAAAUUCCAUUUGAGAGAUUAGUUGAAAUGAAAACGAAGUUGUAUAUCAUGUUCUUCACUGUGGAAGGGUUUGAGUAG